GGACGGUAGCACAGAGGAGCUUGCUCCUCGGGUGACGAGUGGCGGACGGGUGAGUAAUGUCUGGGGAUCUGCCCGAUAGAGGGGGAUAACCACUGGAAACGGUGGCUAAUACCGCAUAACGUCGCAAGACCAAAGAGGGGGACCUUCGGGCCUCUCACUAUCGGAUGAACCCAGAUGGGAUUAGCUAGUAGGCGGGGUAAUGGCCCACCUAGGCGACGAUCCCUAGCUGGUCUGAGAGGAUGACCAGCCACACUGGAACUGAGACACGGUCCAGACUCCUACGGGAGGCAGCAGUGGGGAAUAUUGCACAAUGGGCGCAAGCCUGAUGCAGCCAUGCCGCGUGUAUGAAGAAGGCCUUCGGGUUGUAAAGUACUUUCAGCGGGGAGGAAGGCGGUGCGGUUAAUAACCGCGCCGAUUGACGUUACCCGCAGAAGAAGCACCGGCUACCUCCGUG
rnacentral:rRNA from 1 species